AUUGAACGCUGGCGGCAGGCCUAACACAUGCAAAUCGAGCGGAGCGGCGGACGGGUGAGUAAUGCCUGGGAAUCUGCCUGGUAGUGGUGGAUAACGUCCGGAAACGUGCGCUAAUAACACAUACUAUCAGAUGAUCCUCGGUCGGAUUAGCGCGUUGGUGGGGUAAAGGCCUACCAAGGCGACGAUCCGUAACGGGUCUGAGAGGAUGAUCAGUCACACGUGAAGUAAGACAAGGUCCAGAAUACUACGGGAGGCAGAAGUGGGGAAGAUUGGAAAAUGGGCGAAAGCGUGAUCCAGCCAAGCCGCGGGUGUGAAGAAGGUCGUCGGAUUGUAAAGCACUGUAAGUUGGGAGGCGUUACCAACAGAAUAAGAACCGGCUAACUUCGUGCCAGCAGCCGCGGUAAUUC
rnacentral:rRNA from 1 species